rnacentral:rRNA from 1 species
UACGUAGGGGGCAAGCGUUAUCCGGAUUUACUGGGUGUAAGGGGAGCGUAGGCGGUUUGGCAAGUCAGAAGUGAAAGCCCGGGGCUCAACUCCGGGACUGCUUUUGAAACUGUUAGACUAGAUUGCAGGAGAGGUAAGUGGAAUUCCUAGUGUAGCGGUGAAAUGCGUAGAUAUUAGGAGGAACACCAGUGGCGAAGGCGGCUUACUGGACUGUGAAUGACGCUGAGGCUCGAAAGCGUGGGGAGCAAACAGG